CCCUUAGAUGUUCGGGGCCGCACGCGCGCUACACUGAAGGUAGCAGAGGGUGUGAUCGCUCCCGCCCCGAAGCGGGGCGGGUAAACCGUUGAACUACCUUCGUGGCUUGGGACCGGGGCUUGGAACUGUUGCCCGCGAACGAGGAAUUCCCAGUAAGCGCGAGUCAUAAGCUGGCGUUGAUUACGUCCCUGCCCUUUGUACACACCGCCCGUCGCUACUACCGAUUGAACGUUUUAGUGAGGUAUUUGGACUGGACCUUCGGAGGUUCGCGCCUCCGUUGCUGUUCGGGAAGACUCCCAAACUUGAGCGUUUAGAGGAAGUAAAANUCGUAACA
rnacentral:rRNA from 1 species